UACGGGGGGGGCAAGCGUUGUUCGGAAUUACUGGGCGUAAAGGGCUCGUAGGCGGCCAACUAAGUCAGACGUGAAAUCCCUCGGCUUAACCGGGGAACUGCGUCUGAUACUGGAUGGCUUGAGUCCGGGAGAGGGAUGUGGAAUUCCAGGUGUAGCGGUGAAAUGCGUAGAUAUCUGGAGGAACACCGGUGGCGAAGGCGACAUCCUGGACCGGUAUUGACGCUGAGGCGCGAAAGCCAGGGGAGCAAACGGG
rnacentral:rRNA from 1 species